UACGUAGGGUGCAAGCGUGUCCGGAAUUAUUGGGCGUAAAGAGCUCGUAGGCGGUCUGUUGCGUCGCUGUGAAAACCCGGGGCUCAACUCCGGGCCUGCAGCCGAUACGGGCAGACUAGAGUUCGGCAGGGGAGACUGGAAUUCCUGGUGUAGCGGUGAAAUGCGCAGAUAUCAGGAGGAACACCGGUGGCGAAGGCGGCCUC
rnacentral:rRNA from 1 species